rnacentral:lncRNA from 1 species
CCGAAUUUUUAGAAAACUAACUAAAAUACUCUUAUUUAUUUUCCUCUCUCCUCUUUUUUUUUUUCUCUUGUUCCUUUUUUCCUUUCUCUCCGAAGAGGGCGAUGGAAGGGGAGGCGAAGGCAGCCUGCUUCACCUCUAUCCUCUGCCUCCAACUCUGUCCCGCGCGCCCUCGCCUUCACCGUCGCCGUCGCCGUCGCCUGCACAUCCUCCCUCCCCCUUCCUCGCCUCCGACUCCGUUGAGGCUGCGCUUCGACCCUCCUUUUUUUUUCUCUCCAACCUUCCUCCACCACCUUCCCGGUUUUUUACAAUAGUAAAGAGGAUAGCGUUACGUCCUCUUCCUUUUCUUUUUUCUCUCGUUCUUUUUUUUUCUCUUCGACCCCCCUCUACCGUCUCCGCGAUCCUUCACGAUGAUAACGAGGAUAGCGCCGCAUCGUCUUCUUUCGCCUUCCCCCGU